rnacentral:tRNA from 1 species
UCUCAUUUAGCUUAAGAAGAGCAUCUUAUUGAAGAUAAGAAGGUAUUUUUGAGAA